CAAAACACAGUCUCAGUUCAGAUUGUAGGCUGAAACUCGCCUAUAUGAAGUCGGAAUUGCUAGUAAUCGCGGAUCAGCAUGCCGCGGUGAAUACGUUCCCGGGCCUUGUACACACCGCCCGUCACACCAUGAGAGUCGAUAACACCCGAAGCCUGUAGUCUAACAGCAAUGAGGACGCAGUCGAAGGUGGGAUUGAUAAUUAGGGUGAAGUCGUAACAAGGUAGC
rnacentral:rRNA from 1 species